UUGUCUUCUUCAAUUUCCUCGGGUCACCAACCGUUAACGCACCACUAACGCCGUUUCUGACAUAAACCUUUUCAACUCGACCGCCGGAGAGAGUCGCGGCAGUGGUUAUUGGGCACCAUUCGACAUAUAUAGCCGGAGUCGCACGUGGCAUUCUCGUAUCAUAAGCACCCAAAACGAUGCCGUCCCUCUUUCCGUUCCCCUCUGCAGUCAAAACCACAGUCGGAGAUGCCAUCGUCAGUGCUGGGAUAUUCCAACUUCAGCCAAAAUUAUUUUUAUUUUUCUCUUCAUUAUCAAUAUUCCAUAUAGAAACUACGCUUUUAGAGUUAUUAUUAUCAUUAUCUGCGACAAAAUUCAAGCCUAAAUCUAAACUAUCCUAAAGCUUUACAACAUUUUUGCUGGAAGUAAAUUCCGACCACGCAAAUCGUUCACCGCCGUUGCUCCACCGC
rnacentral:lncRNA from 1 species